CCUACGGGAGGCAGCAGUAGGGAAUCUUUCACAAUGGGCGAAAGCCUGAUGGAGCAACGCCGCGUGCAGGAUGAAGGCCUUCGGGUUGUAAACUGCUUUUAUAAGCGAGAAAUAUGAUGGUAACUUAUGAAUAAGGAUCGGCUAACUACGUGCCAGCAGCCGCGGGCAUACGUAGGAUCCGAGCAUUAUCCGGAGUGACUGGGUGUAAAGAGUUGCGUAGGUGGCAUAAUAAGUAGCUAGUGAAAUCUGGUGGCUAAACCAUUCAGACUAUUAGCUAAACUGUUAAGCUCGAGACCGUUAGGGGUAACUGGAAGUUCUGGUGUAGGAGUGAAAUGCGUAGAUAUUAGGAGGAACACCAAUAGCGUAGGCAGGUUACUGGGACGGUUCUGACACUAAGGCACGAAAGCGUAGGGAGCAAACGGGAUUAGAUACCCGAGUAGUC
rnacentral:rRNA from 1 species